CAUACAGCUCUCCUAUGACCUGGGCUCAGGGCCUGUGAGACUGCACACAAACAAGCAAGUGGCAGAUGGACAUUUUCACAGUGUCGCAGCCAGGAGGAUUGGAAAUAUGGGCUCUUUACAUGUGGACAACUGCACAGAUGUUGACAACAGUGGAUUUUGUUUUUCACAGAGUGAUAGCAGUAGCUCAGAGAGGACAUUAGACGUCGGUGGCAGUAAUGUCACAUUUGGAGGACUGAGGACUGUUGAAUUUAUUCUGCUGCCUCCUGCUCAGAUAAAAACCCACGACUUUGUUGGAUGUAUUCGAAACAUUCAUGUUAACGGUAUCCUGCUCAGAGCUGCAA